UGCGGAGGGUGCGAGCGUUGUCCGGAAUCACUGGGCGUAAAGGGCGCGUAGGCGGCGCGGCAAGUCUGUGGUGAAAGCCCGAGGCUCAACUUCGGGUCGGCCAUGGAUACUGCUGCGCUCGAGCACUGUAGAGGCAGGUGGAAUUCCGGGUGUAGCGGUGGAAUGCGUAGAGAUCCGGAAGAACACCGGUGGCGAAGGCGGCCUGCUGGGCAGUAGCUGACGCUGAGGCGCGACAGCGUGGGGAGCAACAGG
rnacentral:rRNA from 1 species